AAAAGAGAUGACCCCAAGGAAAUGAGGAAGGCGAGUGUUAUCAUCUGUGGACUGACUACAAUUCACUCACAGCAAUAGCUAAUAUUGGAGUUCUUAUUUUUCAGGAUGGAUCCUUCCUUUUCCUCUCAGUGCCUGGGGCUGGGGAAUGAAGUGUCCUCUGCCUGAGGAGGUGGAGUGGAGGCCUUCGUUUUAAGACCAGGGUUCUGAUUACACCUGACAGGGCCGAAACUUGAUGCCCGCAGAGCUUACUGAUAUCUUAUCUUCUUCCACUAGCCAGGAUUACAGCAGGAAUGUAACAGAAGUUGUCACUGAUUCAGUUUGUAUAUGCUUAGUAUGAUUCUUUUUUGUCCUCCUUGAAAUUAGCUCCAGAGAGAGUUCUU
rnacentral:lncRNA from 1 species